AUCCAGCUGACAAGUCCCAAACAGGACAAAACACACAUCCUGGAU
rnacentral:hammerhead_ribozyme from 1 species